UACGGGGGGAGCAAGCGUUGUUCGGAUUUACUGGGCGUAAAGGGCGCGUAGGCGGCCAGCACAAGUCAGUUGUGAAAUCUCCGAGCUUAACUCGGAACGGUCAACUGAUACUGUGCGGCUAGAGUGCAGAAGGGGCAACUGGAAUUCUUGGUGUAGCGGUGAAAUGCGUAGAUAUCAAGAGGAACACCAGUGGCGAAGGCGACUACCUGGCCUGUUCUUGACGCUGAGGCGCGAAAGCUAGGGGAGCAAACGGG
rnacentral:rRNA from 1 species